UACGUAGGGUGCAAGCGUUGUCCGGAAUUAUUGGGCGUAAAGAGCUCGUAGGCGGUUCGUCGCGUCGGCAGUGAAAUCCCGAAGCUCAACCUCGGGUCUGCAGUCGAUACGGGCGGACUGGAGUUCGGCAGGGGAGACUGGAAUUCCUGGUGUAGCGGUGAAAUGCGCAGAUAUCAGGAGGAACACCGGUGGCGAAGGCGGGUCUCUGGGCCGAUACUGACGCUGAGGAGCGAAAGCGUGGGGAGCGAACAGG
rnacentral:rRNA from 1 species